UGAGGAAUAUUGGUCAAUGGACGGAAGUCUGAACCAGCCAAGUAGCGUGCAGGAUGACGGCCCUAUGGGUUGUAAACUGCUUUUGUAUGGGGAUAAAGUUAGGGACGUGUCCCUAUUUGCAGGUACCAUAUGAAUAAGGACCGGCUAAUUCCGUGCCAGCAGCCGCGGUAAUACGGAAGGUUCAGGCGUUAUCCGGAUUUAUUGGGUUUAAAGGGAGCGUAGGCUGGAGAUUAAGUGUGUUGUGAAAUGUAGACGCUCAACGUCUGACUUGCAGCGCAUACUGGUUUCCUUGAGUACGCACAACGUUGGCGGAAUUCGUCGUGUAGCGGUGAAAUGCUUAGAUAUGACGAAGAACUCCGAUUGCGAAGGCAGCUGACGGGAGCGCAACUGACGCUUAAGCUCGAAGGUGCGGGUAUCAAACAGGAUUAGAUACCCUGGUAGUCCGCACGGUAAACGAUGGAUGCCCGUUGUCAGGCUGUUUCAGCCUGGUGACCAAGCGAAAGCAUUAAGCAUCCCACCUGGGGAGUACGCCGGCAACGGUG
rnacentral:rRNA from 1 species